rnacentral:rRNA from 1 species
GAUGAACGCUGGCGGCGUGCCUAAUACAUGCAAGUCGAACGAAACUUCUUUAUCACCGAGUGCUUGCACUCACCGAUAAAGAGUUGAGUGGCGAACGGGUGAGUAACACGUGGGCAACCUGCCCAAAAGAGGGGGAUAACACUUGGAAACAGGUGCUAAUACCGCAUAACCAUAGUUACCGCAUGGUAACUAUGUAAAAGGUGGCUAUACUACCGCUUUUGGAUGGGUCCGCGGCGCAUUAGCUAGUUGGUAGGGUAAAGGCUUACCAAGGCAAUGAUGCGUAGCCGAAUUGAGAGGUUGAUCGGCCACAUUGGGACUGAGACACGGCCCAAACUCCUACGGGAGGCAGCAGUAGGGAAUCUUCCACAAUGGGCGAAAGCCUGAUGGAGCAACGCCGCGUGGGUGAAGAAGGUCUUCGGAUCGUAAAACCCUGUUGUUAGAGAAGAAAGUGCGUGAGAGUAACUGUUCACGUUUCGACGGUAUCUAACCAGAAAGCCACGGCUAACUACGUG